AAUUAUAUAAUAUAAUAAAUAUAUUUAAUUUCCAAUUAAAAAAUUUAAUUUAAAUUUAAUAUAAUUA
rnacentral:tRNA from 1 species